GGUGAUAAUCCCCUCCAAAUGCAGUAUUUAACACCUAUCAGGUAGGUGACAAGUGCUGCAGUGUAAGGAGGAUUAGCACA